AGUGAACGCUGGCGGUAGGCCUAACACAUGCAAGUCGAACGGCAGCACAGUAAGAGCUUGCUCUUACGGGUGGCGAGUGGCGGACGGGUGAGGAAUACAUCGGAAUCUACUUUUUCGUGGGAGAUAACGUAGGGAAACUUACGCUAAUACCGCAUACGACCUACGGGUGAAAGCAGUGGAUCUUCGGACCUUGCGCGAUUGAAUGAGCCGAUGUCGGAUUAGCUAGUUGGCGGGGUAAAGGCCCACCAAGGCGACGAUCCGUAGCUGGUCUGAGAGGAUGAUCAGCCACACUGGAACUGAGACACGGUCCAGACUCCUACGGGAGGCAGCAGUGGGGAAUAUUGGACAAUGGGCGAAAGCCUGAUCCAGCCAUACCGCGUGGGUGAAGAAGGCCUUCGGGUUGUAAAGCCCUUUUGUUGGGAAAGAAAAGCAGCAGGUUAAUACCCCGCUGUUCUGACGGUACCCAAAGAAUAAGCACCGGCUAACUUCGUG
rnacentral:rRNA from 1 species